rnacentral:rRNA from 1 species
GAUCCUGGCUCAGGAUGAACGCUAGCUACAGGCUUAACACAUGCAAGUCGAGGGGCAUCAGUUUGGUUUGCUUGCAAACCAAAGCUGGCGACCGGCGCACGGGUGAGUAACACGUAUCCAACCUGCCUCAUACUCGGGGGUAGCCUUUCGAAAGAAAGAUUAAUAUCCGAUAGCAUAUAUUUCCCGCAUGGGUUUUAUAUUAAAGAAAUUCGGUAUGAGAUGGGGAUGCGUUCCAUUAGUUUGUUGGGGGGGUAACGG